CGGAGCGUAGCUCAGCCUGGUAGAGCACUGUCUUCGGGAGGCAGGGGUCGUUGGUUCAAAUCCAGCCGCUCCGACCA
rnacentral:tRNA from 1 species